rnacentral:rRNA from 1 species
GACGAACGCUGGCGGCGCGCUUAACACAUGCAAGUCGAGCGAAGCGGCGGACGGGUGAGUAAAACGUGAGUAACCUGCCUUAGACAUUGGGAUAGCCUCGGGAAACCGGGAUUAAUACCAAAUGGUCUAAGAUGGACUCGCUUCCCAUUAGAUAGUGGGGAGGUAACGGCCCACCAAGGCGACGAUGGGUAGACGGCCUGUGAGUGUGAACGGCCACAUUGGAACUGAGGAACGGUCCAAACUCUACGGGAGGCAGCAGUGGGGAAUAUUGCACAAUGGAGGGAACUCUGAUGCAGCGACGCCGCGUGAACGAAGAAGGCUUUCGAGUCGUAAAGUUCUUUCGCUAUCGAACGGGUAGGUGGAGAAGAAGCGCCGGCUAACUACGUGCCAGCAGCCGCGGUAAUUC